GACUCUCGGCAACGGAUAUCUUGGCUCUCGCAUCGAUGAAGAACGUAGCGAAAUGCGAUACUUGGUGUGAAUUGCAGAAUCCCGUGAAUCAUCGAGUCUUUGAACGCAAGUUGCGCCCUAGGCCGUCAGGCCGAGGGCACGCCUGCCUGGGCGUCACGCACCGAGUCGCCCCCACCCCCUCCCCGGGGCGGUGGGAGCGGACAAUGGCCCCCCGUGCCCCCGUGCGCGGCCGGCCCAAAUCGAGGCCCCGGGAGGCCGACGUCACGAUCCGUGGUGGCUGUAAAGGACAAACCGGAUCACGUGCACGCCGCGCUGAAUCCCCAGGGCCACAGCGACCCCAACAGGGCCGUCCCCCGGACGGCGCCCACUCU
rnacentral:misc_RNA from 1 species